rnacentral:rRNA from 1 species
UACGGAGGGUGCGAGCGUUAAUCGGAAUUACUGGGCGUAAAGCGCACGCAGGCGGUUUGUUAAGCAAGAUGUGAAAGCCCCGGGCUCAACCUGGGAACUGCAUUUUGAACUGGCAGACUAGAGUCUUGGAGAGGGGGGUGGAAUUCCAGGUGUAGCGGUGAAAUGCGUAGAGAUCUGGAGGAACAUCAGUGGCGAAGGCGGCCGCCCAACAAGUGCGCUCAUGUGCGAAAGUGUGGGUAGCGAACAGGAUUAGAUACCCGUAGUCC